rnacentral:rRNA from 1 species
AGCAGCCGCGGUAAUUCCAGCUCCAAUAGCGUAUAUUAAAGUUGUUGCAGUUAAAAAGCUCGUAGUUGAAUUUCGGGAUUGACACAUCGGUCGUGCCUUAAGGGGUAUGAACUGGUGUAGUCAAUUUCUCACCUUCUGGAGAACCGCGAUGCCCUUAAUUGGGUGUCGCGGGGAACCAGGACCUUUACUUUGAAAAAAUUAGAGUGUUUAAAGCAGGCAUUUUGCUUGAAUACAUUAGCAUGGAAUAAUAAAAUAGGACGGCAUGAUUCUAUUUUGUUGGUUUCUAGGAUCACCGUAAUGAUUAAUAGGGAUAGUUGGGGGCAUUAGUAUUCAAUUGUCAGAGGUGAAAUUCUUGGAUUUAUUGAAGACUAACUACUGCGAAAGCAUUUGCCAAGGAUGUUUUCAUUAAUCAAGAACGAAAGUUAGGGGAUCGAAGACGAUCAGAUACCGUCGUAGUCUUAACCAUAAACUAUGCCGACUAGGAUCAGACGAUGUUAAUUUUUAAUGUACUCGUUUGGCA